rnacentral:rRNA from 1 species
GCUCCCUGGUUAUUCCGCUGAGGGAGAGUAAUGGUGGGGGACCUGCCCGUAAAAAUGGGAUAACUCCCGGAAAACGGGGGUAAUACCCGAGGGUUGUUUGAACUGCAUGGUUCAAACCUCCAAGGUGGCUUCGGCUACCACUUACACAUGGACCCGGGGAAUUUAUCUAGUUGGUGAGGUAACGGCUCACCACAUUGACAAUGAGACGGGGACCUGCCAGGGUGAUCGACCACACUGAGACUGAUUGAAACCUGACUCCUACCGGAGGCACUGAUGCGGAAUGUUCCUAAUGGACUAAGGUCUGACGGAGCAUCUCCGACAAAAGGAUGAAGGUUGUUUCAUCCUAAAACUCUGUUGGAAGGGAAGAGCAAGUACCCUUCGAACUAUGAGGGGCCUUGACGGUACCUAAACCCACAGACACUGCUACCUACGUGUCCGCAUCCUCAGUGGUGGGUAGGUGGCGACGUAUCUUUCCGUAGUAAUUACUAGGGCGUGGAGGCCUCGCAUGUCGGAUGUCUGAUAUAUGAUGCAGUGAUGUCAUCCCUGAGCUCAACCGUGAAGGGUCAAUGCGUAAGACUGAGUGAGUAUCUUGAGUAUGCAGAAGAGGAGAAUGUAGUUCCACUUGUGAGUGUAGAGGUGCAAGUAGUAGAUGUGAGCAGGAACACGAUUGAAGCUACGGCGACUCUCUAGUGGUCCGUUACUGACGCUGAGGUGCAGAAAGCGUGAGGUGAGCGAAACAGGAUUAGAUAUCCGUGGUAGUCCACGUCCGUAAACGAUGAGUGUUAGCGCUUGAGGGAAGUUUACUCGCCCCUUAGUUGGCGCAGUUAACGCAUUAGCCAUUCGCCUUGGGAAGUACGGUGGCAGGAUUAAAAUUCAAAGGAAUGGACGGGGGCCGGCACAACCGUUGAACCAGUUGGUUUAAUUGGAACCAACGGGCAAACCCUUCCCAGUCCUGACCUCCUCCGACCAUCCAAAAAAAUGUGGUGUUCCUUUGGGGGCCGGGGACCCAGUUGUGCCAGGGCGUUGUUAAGUUGGGUUGUGAAAAUGUUGGGUUAAUUCCGCCAAGAAGGCCACCCUUCGCCUUUAUUUCCCACCAUUCAGUUGGCCACUUAAAGGGGACUGCCGGUGAUAACCCGAGAGAAAGGGGGGGAUGAUGUCAUGUCCUCAUGCCCCUUACCGUGGGGGCUACACACGUGCCACAAGGGUGGUCACAGUGGGCAGAAAAGGAGAGAUCCAGACAUUAUCUCCAAUAGCCAUUUCAGUUCGGAUUCCAUUUUCCAAUUGGAGUGCAGGAAGUGGGAAUCGCUAGUAAUCGGGGAUCAGCACGCCGCGGGGAAUACGUUCCCGGGCCUUGUACACCCCGCCCGUCCCCCCCUGGGAGUUGGUUCACCCGAAGGUAGUGAGCUAACCGC